GACAGAGGAUGCGAACGUUGCUCGGAAUUACUGGGCGUAAAGCGCGCGCAGGCGGUCUGGUAAGUCAGGUGUGAAAGCCCGAGGCUCAACCUCGGAAGCGCACUUGAGACUGCGAGACUGGGGUCUUGAAGAGGAGAGCGGAAUUCCCGGUGUAGAGGUGAAAUUCGUAGAUAUCGGGAGGAACACCAGUGGCGAAAGCGGCUCUCUGGGCAAUGACCGACGCUGAGGCGCGAAGGCGUGGGAAGCAAACAGG
rnacentral:rRNA from 1 species